UACAGAGGGGGCAAGCGUUAUUCGGAAUUAUUGGGCGUAAAGGGCGCGUAGGCGGCUUGGCAAGUGGAAGGUGAAAUCCCUCGGCUUAACCGAGGAACUGCCCUCCAAACUGCUUGGCUUGAGACCGGGAGAGGUGAGUGGAAUUCCCAGUGUAGCGGUGAAGUGCGUAGAUAUUGGGAGGAACACCAGUGGCGAAGGCGGCUCACUGGACCGGUACUGACGCUGAUGCGCGAAAGCGUGGGGAGCAAACGGG
rnacentral:rRNA from 1 species